UUCAACCUGCCAUAGGAUUCGGAAAAGGAUACAUGUACGGGUUAGGGUACAUAUAAGGGCUAGGAAACAUACCUGGCAUCAUAGGGAAAGGUGAAUGCGUGGGUAUCAUCUGUUGAAUUGCUGCGCCAGGUGACUGCGUCGGUGCUCUCGUUGGGGACGGUGAUUGCAUGGUCGCUGAUGAUGAAUCGGGUGAAUGUCUG
rnacentral:lncRNA from 1 species